UACAGAGGGCCCAAGCGUUGUUCGGAUUCACUGGGCGUAAAGGGUGCGUAGGCGGUCAUUUAAGUCUGACGUGAAAUCUCCGGGCCUAACCCGGAAACUGCGUUGGAAACUAUCUGACUAGAGGAAUGGAGGGGAGACUGGAAUACUUGGUGUAGCAGUGAAAUGCGUAGAUAUCAAGUGGAACACCAGUGGCGAAGGCGAGUCUCUGGACAUUUCCUGACGCUGAGGCACGAAAGCCAGGGGAGCAAGCGGG
rnacentral:rRNA from 1 species